UGCGGCCCCCCCACACCCCACCAGUCCUUUUCGGGACCCUUCCCCCGGACCCCCCCCUCGCAUUUCCAUCAUUCCCAGUAUGGCUGAACUGGUUGGGUUUCUGAUUCCGACGAGGCCCCCCCCAAACGGGCCCCCCCCCCCAAAAUGGGUCCCAAGAGGAAGAGGAGGGAGGAAGCGGAGCUGAGCAAGCUCUCCCCUCAGCCUCCUCCUCCUGCCCCCCUAGCUCCAGCUGCCCCUCGGCGGGGGCCGGGGGGGCGGCCGGAACCCCCCGCCCCCUCCACAACCCGCCUCCUUUUUUUUUUUACUGGUGGCCCCCCCACUUCCUCCCCCCGCCCGCGGUCUGGGGGCCGGUCUGGGCGGCUCAGGUCUACGGGGUGGCUUCCCUCUUCGCUCUGAUGGCCCUGCUGGGCUUGCUGGUUUUGCUGGGCAGUCACCAGCGCCGCUUCCUGGGGGGGCUCCUGAUGGUGGCGGGGGUCUCCCGAGCCGCCCCCCCGUUGUUUUUAGACCAAAACUUGUCCCCCCCCCUCGCUCACCUCCUCUUCGAGCUGCCCUUUCCCUGCUUGGGGUGGGGGCUGGUGAUCGCUUUGACCCCUCCCCCCAAUUACCCCAGUCCCUUGCUGCUGGUUUUGAUGGUUUUACAUCUGGGGGGGGCCGUCGGGGUGG